CCAGGCUCCCUUGAAGAGCUCACCAUGGCCGGGGCUCUGUUUUUCCUUGCGCUUCUCACUUACUGUGCAGGUGUCAGUUCUCAGGCCAGUUUGACCCAGCCCACCUCCAUGUCUGCGUCCCUGGGCCAAACAGUGAAAUUCACCUGCACAAAAAGCAGUGGGGUCAGCUGGAACGGUGGCCAAUCCUGGCAUCAACAGAGACCUGGUCAGGCUCCUCGCUUUGUGGUCUAUCAAACCUCCAGCAGGGGCGAAGGGAUCCCCGAUCGGUUCACUGGUUCCUCCUCUGGAAAUUCUUACUAUUUAACCAUCACAAAUGUCCAGGCUGAAGAUGAGGCUGAUUAUUAUUGCUGUGAUGCAUACCUCAGUGGUAGUUCUUGGCUGUCUCACAGUGAUAAAGUCUAA